rnacentral:rRNA from 1 species
UACGGAGGGUGCGAGCGUUGUCCGGAAUCACUGGGCGUAAAGGGCGCGUAGGCGGGCUGCCGCGUCCGGGGUGAAAUCCCACGGCUCAACCGUGGAACGGCCUCGGAUACGGGCGGCCUCGAGGGGGGUAGGGGCACUGGAACUGUGGAGUGGAGCGGUGAAAUGCGUUGAUAUUCACAGGAACUCCGGUGGCGAAGGCGAGGU